rnacentral:rRNA from 1 species
GAUGAACGCUGGCGGCGUGCUUAACACAUGCAAGUCGAGCGAGAAGCUAUUUGAUGAACCUUCGGGAGAUUUAGAUAGUGGAAAGCGGCGGACGGGUGAGUAACGCGUGGGUAACCUGCCCUAUGCAGGGGGAUAACACAUUGAAAAGUGUGCUAAUACCGCAUAAGACCACAGAGUCGCAUGACUUAGUGGUAAAAACUCCGGUAGCAUAGGAUGGACCCGCGUCUGAUUAGCUAGUAGGUAAGGUAACGGCUUACCUAGGCGACGAUCAGUAGCCGACCUGAGAGGGUGAUCGGCCACAUUGGGACUGAGACACGGCCCAAACUCCUACGGGAGGCAGCAGUGGGGAAUAUUGCACAAUGGGGGAAACCCUGAUGCAGCGACGCCGCGUGAAGGAAGAAGGUUUUCGGAUCGUAAACUUUCUAUCAGCAGGGAAGAUAGUGACAGUACCUGACUAAGAAGCCCCGGCUAACUACGUGCCAG